rnacentral:snRNA from 1 species
AAAAUGUCUCCCUUACUUAAA